UACGUAGGGGGCGAGCGUUGUCCGGAUUUAUUGGGCGUAAAGAGCGUGUAGGCGGCCAGGUAGGUCCGUUGUGAAAACUCGAGGCUCAACCUCGAGACGUCGAUGGAAACCAUCUGGCUAGAGUCCGGAAGAGGAGAGUGGAAUUCCUGGUGUAGCGGUGAAAUGCGUAGAUAUCGAGAGGAACACCUGCGGCGAAGGCGGGUUGCUGGGCUGACACUGACGCUGAAGCGCGAAAGCUAGGGGAGCGAACGGG
rnacentral:rRNA from 1 species